rnacentral:tRNA from 1 species
UCCCUGGUGGCUCAAACAGUGAAGAAUCUGCCUGCAAUGCAGGAGACCCAGGUUCGAUCCCUGGGUCGGGAA